rnacentral:rRNA from 1 species
GUUAUAUGGUCAAGCGAAUAAGCGCACACGGUGGAUGCCUAGGCGGUCAGAGGCGAUGAAGGACGUGGUAGCCUGCGAAAAGUGUCGGGGAGCUGGCAACAAGCUUUGAUCCGGCAAUAUCCGAAUGGGGAAACCCACUGCUUCGGCAGUGUCCUGCAGUGAAUUCAUAGCUGCUGGAAGCGAACCCGGUGAACUGAAAUAUCUAAGUAACCGGAGGAAAAGAAAUCAACCGAGAUUCCCUAAGUAGUGACGAGCGAACGGGGAACAGCCCUUAAGCUGGAAUGGCUUUAGAAAAACAAUCUGGAAAGAUUGGCCAUAGAAGGUGAUAGCCCUGUAUUUAAAAGGGCCACUCCAGUGAAGACGAGUAGGGCGGGGCACGUGAAACCCUGUCUGAAUAUGGGGGGACCAUCCUCCAAGGCUAAAUACUCCUGACCGACCGAUAGUGAACCAGUACCGUGAGGGAAAGGCGAAAAGAACCCCGGAGAGGGGAGUGAAAUAGAUCCUGAAACCGUGUGCGUACAAGCAGUAGGAGCUCGCAAGAGUGACUGCGUACCUUUUGUAUAAUGGGUCAGCGACUUACUGUUCGUGGCAAGCUUAACCGUAUAGGGGAGGCGAAGGGAAACCGAGUCUGAUAAGGGCGCAUAGUCGCGGGCAGUAGACCCGAAACCGGGUGAUCUAGUCAUGGCCAGGGUGAAGGUGCCGUAACAGGUACUGGAGGCCCGAACCCACGUCUGUUGCAAAAGACGGGGAUGAGCUGUGACUAGGAGUGAAAAGCUAAUCGAACCCGGAGAUAGCUGGUUCUCCUCGAAAGCUAUUUAGGUAGCGCCUCGGACGAAUACUACUGGGGGUAGAGCACUGUUAUGGCUAGGGGGUCAUCGCGACUUACCAAACCAUUGCAAACUCCGAAUACCAGUACGUACUAUCCGGGAGACACACGGCGGGUGCUAACGUCCGUCGUGAAAAGGGAAACAACCCAGACCCACAGCUAAGGUCCCAAAUUCACUGCUAAGUGGAAAACGAUGUGGAAAGGCACAGACAGCCAGGAGGUUGGCUUAGAAGCAGCCACCCUUUAAAGAAAGCGUAAUAGCUCACUGGUCGAGUCGGUCUGCGCGGAAGAUUUAACGGGGCUAAGCAGUGAACCGAAGCUUGGGGUGCAUAAAACUUGUUUUAUGCGCGGUAGAGGAGCGUUCCGUAAGCCUGCGAAGGUGGAUUGAGAAGUCCGCUGGAGGUAUCGGAAGUGCGAAUGCUGACAUGAGUAACGAUAAUGCGGGUGAAAAGCCCGCACGCCGAAAGCCCAAGGUUUCCUUGCGCAACGUUAAUCGACGCAGGGUUAGUCGGUCCCUAAGGCGAGGGCGAAAGCCGUAGUCGAUGGGAAGCAGGUUAAUAUUCCUGCACCUCGCGUGAGUGCGAUGGAGGGACGGAGAAGGUUAGGUGUACCGGGCGUUGGUUGUCCCGGGGAAAGGCGGUAGGUUUGGAUCUUUGGCAAAUCCGGGAUCCUUUAAGACCGAGCACCGAGACGAGCCUUUAUGGCGAAGUCACUGAUACCACGCUUCCAGGAAAAGCUCCUAAGCUUCAGCUCACGAAGACCGUACCGUAAACCGACACAGGUGGGUAGGAUGAGAAUUCUCAGGCGCUUGAGAGAACUCGGGUGAAGGAACUAGGCAACAUGGCACCGUAACUUCGGGAGAAGGUGCACCCUUUUUGGUGGCUCAUGCGAGCUAUAGCUGAAGAGGGUCGCAGAAACCAGGCCGCUGCGACUGUUUAUCAAAAACACAGCACUCUGCAAACACGAAAGUGGACGUAUAGGGUGUGACGCCUGCCCGGUGCUGGAAGGUUAAUUGAUGGGGUCAGCCGCAAGGCGAAGCUCUUGAUCGAAGCCCCAGUAAACGGCGGCCGUAACUAUAACGGUCCUAAGGUAGCGAAAUUCCUUGUCGGGUAAGUUCCGACCUGCACGAAUGGCGUAACGACAGCGGCGCUGUCUCCACCCGAGACUCAGUGAAAUUGAAAUCGCUGUGAAGAUGCAGCGUUCCCGUGGCAAGACGGAAAGACCCCGUGAACCUUUACUAUAGCUUUACACUGAACGUUGAGUUCGUCUGUGUAGGAUAGGUGGGAGGCUAUGAAACUGUGGCGCUAGCUGCAGUGGAGCCAUCCUUGAAAUACCACCCUGUCGUGCUUGACGUUCUAACCUAGAUCCGUUAUCCGGAUCAGGGACCGUGUAUGGUGGGUAGUUUGACUGGGGCGGUCUCCUCCUAAAGAGUAACGGAGGAGCACGAAGGUACGCUCAGCGCGGUCGGACAUCGCGCACUGUGUGCAAAGGCAUAAGCGUGCUUGACUGCAAGAUCGACGGAUCAAGCAGGUACGAAAGUAGGUCUUAGUGAUCCGGUGGUUCUGUAUGGAAGGGCCAUCGCUCAACGGAUAAAAGGUACUCCGGGGAUAACAGGCUGAUACCGCCCAAGAGUUCAUAUCGACGGCGGUGUUUGGCACCUCGAUGUCGGCUCAUCACAUCCUGGGGCUGUAGUCGGUCCCAAGGGUAUGGCUGUUCGCCAUUUAAAGUGGUACGCGAGCUGGGUUCAGAACGUCGUGAGACAGUUCGGUCCCUAUCUGCCAUGGGCGUUGGAAGUUUGAGAGGGGCUGCUCCUAGUACGAGAGGACCGGAGUGGACGAACCUCUGGUGUUCCGGUUGUCACGCCAGUGGCAUUGCCGGGUAGCUAUGUUCGGAAGCGAUAACCGCUGAAAGCAUCUAAGCGGGAAGCGCGCCUCAAGAUGAGACUUCCCGGGGCACAAGCCCCCUAAAGGAACCAUAUAGACUAUGUGGUUGAUAGGUCAGGUGUGUAAGUACAGCAAUGUAUUGAGCUAACUGAUACUAAUGAUCCGUGCGGCUUGACCAUAUAACCU